AGUCCAUGGUUUGGGCAAUUCUUGACCAAUCCCUUAAAAUGCUCCUAUGCGGCACUUAAGGUUUCAGCUUCUUCUUGUUCAAAAUUCAUAAUCUCUCGANAAGGUU